UCUGUCGUUAAUUCCUCUCACCCGACCAUUUCCCCCAAUUUCCCCUCUCUUCACGCCAUCGCCGAUGCCCACCACCUCAUCGUACUCCACCGCAGGGUGUCGACGCUGAAGACCACGAAGGGUUGGACACCUCUGGUGUAACCUCCAUGGCUACCAGCACCGGACGCGGCCAUGAUGGGAACGGAGGCCAACCUCUCUCCCGAUCUCCUCGCGACAAGCAACACCAACGUUGUGCCCUAGCUCUUGAUCCACUGCCGUCCGAGCUCUCUCUCUUCCUCAUCCAUGAUCAUCGUCGCCUCCUCACACUAGAGCAGCGUCAUCCACUCAUGAUGUCGAGCCUAGCCUGAUAGCAUCGCUGUCCUCCAUUGCUCUGAGUCGGCGCCAUCCAUUUAACCUAGCAUCGUCAUUGUUUAGAGCUAUCGGUGCCGGUGCAACCAUCAUCCAGCCAUGCCUCCCCAUGUGCUAUUGCCCUUCUCUUCUCCUGAACUAGCCAAUGCUAUGAGCCACUGCUGGGCAGUGUAGAUCCACUGAGAAGAUGCCAAAGGGUUGAGGAUAUCAACAGAUUUAAGCCUUGCUAAGACAUAGGCAUCCAAUCACCAGUCGGGCACCAAGGAGUGGUCUCUACUGUUCUGGUAGGACCAAGAGUUCAAUUAAGGUGACAGGUACUUGGAUUUUUAUGAAUCAAUAUAAUGGUUGAAGAUGAUUCAUCUAAUCGAGUUUUUAUUUUACAAGACUUUGUUAGUAUUAAAAUUUAAUAUUUUGAGUAUAUUUGUAGGUUGUUUUGGAUGUAAAAGAUUUAUCAUUAGUAUUACAUUUGUAAAUUUGACUCAAAUGAUUAUUGGAUGAAUAAAAAUAUCUA